UCGAGAAUCUUUCGCAAUGGGCGCAAGCCUGACGAAGCGACGCCGUGUGAGCGAAGAAGGCCUUCGGGUUGUAAAGCUCUUUCGCUAGGGAACAAGAAAGGUGGGAUAAUACCCCGCUAAUUUGAUGGUACUUGGUAAAGAAGCACCGGCUAACUCCGUGCCAGCAGCUGCGGUAAUACGGAGGGUGCAAGCAUUGAUCGGAAUUACUGGGCGUAAAGGGCGCGUAGGCGGUCAGGAAAGUCAGAUGUGAAAUUCCGGAGCUCAACUCCGGAGCUGCAUUUGAAACUUCCUAUCUAGAGUACAGUUAGGGAAAACGGAAUUCCACGUGUAGCGGUGAAAUGCGUAGAUAUGUGGAAGAACACCAGUGGUGAAGACGGUUUUCUGGGCUGUUACUGACGCUGAGGCGCGAAAGCAAGGGGAGCAAACAGGAUUAGAUACCCCCGUAGUCC
rnacentral:rRNA from 1 species